ACGUAAUAUAUGGACAAUCCCUAACUCAAAUGAUGAGUCUUCACGAGAAAAAUUGAUUUUUAACAAAGUUGUUCAACUUUCAAGAAAAGGUCAAUCACGUUUUGGAACAUCAUGGGUUAUUUAAACUACAUACAAAGAAGGUAUGGCGACACACCGAUGCAACUUAUGGGAAAUUGGAUACGCACCAAUCGAACAUUGGUUAAUCCAAUGGAGCAACGCACUUUUUUAAGCAGAUGAAGAACAGAAGCUCUGAUUCCAGCUCAUAUUCAACAUCAAACAGACAAAUAAUUCAAACUGCAGAUACCUGUAAUUUUCGGUUCACAGACAUUGAACAAGAUAAUCGUCUAAACAGUGUCAAUUACUUCUUUUCCGCCAAUCUUUUGUAACGAUUUUUUGCAAUGAUGUUUUGUAACGAUCCUUUGUAACGAUGUUUUGUACCGAGUUUUUAUAACGAUGCUUUGUAACGAUGUAUUGUAACGAUGUUUUGUGACGAUCCUUUGUGGCGAUGUUUUGUAACGAUGCUUAGUAACGAUGUUUUGUAACGAUCCUUUGUAAUGAUGCUUGGUACCGAUGUUUUGUAACGAUCCUUUGUAAUGAUGCGUUGUAACGAUGCUUUGUAAAGAUGUUUUAUAAUCCUUUGUAACCAUGUUAUGUAACGAUGUUUUGUAACGAUCCUCUGUAACGGUGUUUUGUAACCCUUUGUAACGAUGUUUUGUAACGAUCCUUUCUAAAGAUGCUUUGUAAUCCUUUGUAACUGUGCUUAGUAGCUAUGUUUUGCAACGAUGUUUUGUGAGAAUCCUUUGUAACGAUGAUUUGUAAACUGAAGCUUUUGAUUUUAGUUUGUCGUUUUUUUUUUUAUACGAAACUA